AUAAAAAACCAUGCCUAAGAAAGGAAAUAGCAAUGAUUGUUCAGAUUAUAGAACCUCGGCACUAUUGCGCCAUGCUUCAAAAAUUAUACUCAAGACUGUUAAAGAUCAUAUGUUAAGAUUAACCAUAAUUUAGGAUAAGACCAACAUAAAUGUAAGAAAUCAGAAGCUACUAGGGAAGCUAUAAUGGCACUACAAAUGAUUUUAGAAAUAAGAACUAAGACGAACAAGAAAAUCCAUGCCACAUUCAUUCACCAAUAGACAGCUUUUGAUAGAGUGGGCUGAAAAUUACUGUUUGGAGAGCUAAAAGAUAAGAAAAAUAAACAGAUAACAAUACCAUUAAGAAACAGCCUAAAAUAAGAAGGUAUGACAAGGCUCUCCUCUCUUUCCAUAUUUAUUUAUUUAUAGAAAACAAAAAGUGGCACCAAAGGGUUCAAAAUUAAUCGUAAACAAAUACACUAUCUUUGAUUUAUUUGCGCAUGGUAUAGUCUGAGAAGGCAAUGAAAAAUGGCAUGAACAACAUAAUACAAAUUGUAUCUGAUGCCAUGGUAACCACAAACUGAAAAUAAAUACAAACAAGACUCAAAUAAUGGUGAGAGAAACAAAACAGACAAAUAAUAGUGGUUUCAGUUGCCCGAGACUGCAGUCGUUCGCUCGCUCGUGUGUGUGUGUGUGUGUGUGUGUGUGUGUGUGUAUUUUUUGUUAACACCUUGAUGGCUGAAAGCUUUAAUUGUGUCUUUUUGUUGUGCCUAUCUGCGACUCAGCAUAUCCGCUAUAUAGUGAAUAGCAACUUUCCUUCUCAUAAUAUUGUUACAUUUCAUCCUGGAUUUUCCAUUGUUUGAAAUAAUAGCAAACAUUAAGACAGGAAGUAAAAUAUUAAUUAAAGAAAAUGAGUUUUAUUACUUAUGAAAGAGUAACUAGUGACAAAAGAAAACGAUGUAAGUACAAAACUAUGAAUUUUGUGUUGAAUGUAGAAACAUACAACUUGCAAAAAUCUGACACAUUUAAGACUAUUUCCUAGAAAUAUCACACUGAAUAUUCACCCGAUUUAUUAAAGCACAUAAUCUUGAAUGUUAAUGGAUUACAAUACAGCUUUCCCAAGUACAUUUUAUUAGGUUAAUAUGAACUUACAAUUCUGCAGAUAUACAAACCAUCUUUAUGGUAUUAUGAUAAGUUAUUGUUUUUGGCAGAUCAUUGCUUGCCAAGAAAAAACACAUCCAUAGGCCUGACUCAACAUUCCAUGACUGAGGACAAUGAAAGUCAGGAGGUGAAGUUACUUGCAACCCUUGGUGGUAAAGAUGCAAAAUUGUUAAUGUUCAAUUGUAUGAAAUGAUGCCUGACGUCAGGGAUAGGAAUGAAGUUUUCAUAUACAGGAAGGCCUCCAAAAGAGAAGACGAAAGAAAAGAAAAGAAAAAGAAAAGAAAAGAGCUUUCUGUUCAAUCUUGCUUUGUGCAGCAAUUCAAAGUUCAGUCAGAAAAAUAUUUCCUUCGACAACCGAAGAACAGUUUAAAACCAAUAUAGGACACUGGCUUCAACAGUCAAAAAAACAGAAGUCAAACCCCAUGAUGAGACCACACUAAAUUACAAUCGGUGAUGGCUCUUAAUUUUGUUGUUCCCUAGGAGAAAUAAUACUGCAAGGCCUACUGGUACUUCUUACUUUUAUUGUUAUUUGUAAUGUGGCUGAAAUCUAAUAAAAGGCAAUAUUAAAAUAUGAGAAGGAGAACAUUUUUUGUUCUUUUACAUUUAAGUUCCACUGAACUGGUAAUUUCUUAAAUUCAUUUCUAUUUCAUCUUUUAUUUCAUUUUGAUUCAGUUUUACUCACCAAAAAAUAAUUGUGGAUAGAAUAAAACGUCUACAUCUUUCCAAACAGUAGUUUCCUUAUAAGCUUACAGUAUGAGGUAUAUAUGAUUCCAAGUAAUUGUUUCUUUAUAAUUCAGAUUAAAUGGCCCUGAAACUGUUAGAAAUUUCAAACAAAAAGUUACUUCAAAUUACUUUAAAAACUCUUUGGAAUGAAGUCACCAGAAGCAGCUGCUUACUCAGUUACUUUUAUACUCGUUAAUGAUUCUCACUACAUGAGUGAGUUUGAAGUUAUUUUGCUAAUCUGGGGCAUAAAUUAUAUUUAGGUUGAUCAGUUUCAACUUUUUACGUUUUUUAUGUUUAGGUACGGCUAACAUUUUCUUUUACCUUUUACAGGAUCAUUAUACCGGCAGAAGUCAGCGAUAUUUGAUCCUGCUCUGGUCUGUGUGCCGGGGCCGGA